UAUUUAAACGCUAUUAAAAGCUUACUUAUAUAGUGGUUUUUAGACAACCGUUGACAAAAGUAAUCAGAUUAGAAAUAAGAACCGCCUAAUUCCUAUUCACUUUCCUCUUCCCACGCAUUACAAACCCCAAUUCCCUUCUCUAUUCUCUGCAAAUUAAGGACUAUUCAAAGAGACACUCAUACCCCUAAUUUUCAGAACCUAAAACCGCUGAUUUCUGCCGGUAAUUUGCAACUCGCUGUUGAGAAAGAUGAAUCUUUUGGUUGUUCUAGUUGUAUUUAAGUUCAUGGUGACGACAUUCAUGAGUCUUCAAUUUUAAGAUGGAGCGAGCAAUGUCUACUACAUUUAGAAAUCUGCAAAUUGACUUUUAUGAGUGUGCUGAAGUAUAGACGACGUUGUGAUAUUCGUCAAGUGGCUGGAUGAUGAGUUGUGCUUCCUUGUUGAUGAGUUGGUUGAGUCUAACUUUAGAAGAUCCAAGAUAUUGGUGUGCUUACACCCUUUCAUCCUCACUUGUUUUUGUCUGAAGAGAGCAUCAUGGUUUUGAGUUUGUUCCCUGGGCAACUACAGUUAGGUUGAAGCAAAGUCGCCAGUGGGUGUGCCUUGUAGUCCAACAAAUGUAUCUAUAAUGAAGGAACUACAAAUAUACUUACAUAAUGUAGUUAUAAAUUAUUUUUUUUUCUUAGAGAACACUUUAUACUUGUAUAUAUUUCAUUAUUUGUUCUAUUAUGGUGACAUUGUGAAACUAAUUUUGUAAGAGUUUGGAGAUUAAUGAAAAAAUUCAAUUUUCAGC